AUAACAUCCUCAUAGAACAGCUCAAGAGAUGUGUCACAGACAACUGGUCUGUGAGGUGAAUUUAAAACUGCUCCAAAACAGAGUUCAGAGUGUUGUGACUGGUGGCAGAGAUUCCAGCUGGAGACCUGAGCACUGGGUCCAGUUUUGUUCAAUAUCAACAAUGUGAAUGAAGCCAUUGAGUGCACCCUCAGCAAGUUCCCUGAUGAAACAAAACUGGGGGGGGUGAAGAAAUCAACAGAGUUCAGCAAGGAGAAAUUCAAAGUCCUGCACUUGCUUGUGACCAGUCAGUGAACUUCUCCGUUGGAAGAAGGAUCUGAGGAGAUGGGGCAGGGAUUUGUGCUUAUGAAGCUAGGGGAAUAACACAGAAAGUUACUAACCUCAGCUGCCAAAAUAAAGGCAAACUUAACACAAA